rnacentral:rRNA from 1 species
UAGGGAAUCUUCGGCAAUGGACGAAAGUCUGACCGAGCAACGCCGCGUGAGUGAAGAAGGUUUUCGGAUCGUAAAACUCUGUUGUUAGAGAAGAACAAGGAUGAGAGUAGAAUGUUCAUCCCUUGACGGUAUCUAACCAGAAAGCCACGGCUAACUACGUGCCAGCAGCCGCGGUAAUACGUAGGUGGCAAGCGUUGUCCGGAUUUAUUGGGCGUAAAGCGAGCGCAGGCGGUUUCUUAAGUCUGAUGUGAAAGCCCCCGGCUCAACCGGGGAGGGUCAUUGGAAACUGGGAAACUUGAGUGCAGAAGAGGAGAGUGGAAUUCCAUGUGUAGCGGUGAAAUGCGUAGAUAUAUGGAGGAACACCAGUGGCGUAGGCGGCUCUCUGGUCUGUAACUGACGCUGAGGCUCGAAAGCGUGGGGAGCAAACAGG